CCUACGGGUGGCAGCAGUGAGGAAUAUUGGUCAAUGGACGCAAGUCUGAACCAGCCAUGCCGCGUGCAGGAAGACGGCUCUAUGAGUUGUAAACUGCUUUUGUACGAGGGUAAACGCAGAUACGCGUAUCUGUCUGAAAGUAUCGUACGAAUAAGGAACGGCUAACCCCGUGCCAGCAGCCGCGGUAAUACGGAGGAUUCAAGCUGUAUUCGGAUUUAUUGGGGUUAAAGGGUGCGUAGGCGGUCGGUUAAGUUAGAGGUGAAAUCUCGAGGCUCAACUUCGGAAUUGCCUCUGAUACUGUUCGGCUAGAGAGUAGUUGCGGUAGGCGGAAUGUAUGGUGUAGCGGUGAAAUGCUUAGAGAUCAUACAGAACACCGAUUGCGAAGGCAGCUUACCAGGCUACUUCUGACGUUGAGGCACGAAAGCGUGGGGAGCGAACAGGAUUAGAUACCCCUGUAGUC
rnacentral:rRNA from 1 species